rnacentral:lncRNA from 1 species
AAUUAAUGAAGGACAAAUGAAGACAUUAAUACAUAUAUACAUACAUAUACAUUUUGUUAUCAGCUACUGAUGGGGCGACAAUCCUGAAUGGAAAAUAACUAAAGAAAACCAAAGGAGAUUUUGGAAAAUCUGGAGGUUUUGUCUGCUUCUUAUAGCCCAUUUCUUAUGAUCACUCCUUUGCUUCAAUUUGUCUCGUUUUACAGCUAUCUUUUGUGUUUUUUUGCCCAGUCACCAAAUGAUGUCUUUAGAAAAAUCAUGACCUCGAAAUCUAUUUUGUUACUUGACUUACAAAAUUUUGAAAAGUCUGUUAGUUUUGUCGCUGGUUUACAGCCUUUUAAAUAUUAUCCCUAUAUUACCACAGGUUGCUAAAAGUAUUAUCUAUUUUAAUAAACUAAAUCAAAUAAAAUAAUUUUGAAUUAUAUUGUGAGAUGACUUAUAGAUAUGAGUUUUCAAAGAUAACAAAUUAAUCAUAUCUAAAUUUCGAAAAUUAUUUAACAAAAUUUAUCUAUGUAUUAAAAACUAUUAUUUAGUUAAUGUUUUCGAAAAUUAUGUUAGUUUUGUUUGCGGGUUUACACCCAUUUAAAUAAUAUCCCUAUACUGCUACAAGUUGCUAAAAAUACUAUCUAUUUUUAAUAAACUAAUUAAAAAAAAUCUUUAAAUUAAAUUGUGAAAUUACUAAUAGAAUCGAGUUUUCAAAGAUAAUAAACUAACUUAAUUAAUCACAUCUAAAUUUCGAAAAUUAUUUAAGAAAAUUUAUCGAUGUACUACAAAAAUUAUUUAGUUAAAGUUUUUGAAAAGUUUGGUAGUUUUGUUUGCUGGUUUACAGCCAGUGAAGUAUUAUCCCUCUAUUGCCACAAGUUGCUCUAUUUUUUAAUAAACUAAUUCAAUUUUUUUUUAAGAAAAUUAUAUUGUGAGAUGACUAAUAAAAUUGAGUUUUCAAAAAUAUUAAACUAGCGAAACUAAUCAUAUCUAUAUUUUGUGGGAACCGAGAUUCACACCGUCGAUUUCUGUAAAAUAAGAAAAGAUAGAAAACCCUAAAUUUCGAGAGGCCCAUAUAUCUGCUAAACCACACGCCAAUCAAUUAGAACAAGCCAAAUAAACCAAGUAAAAAAUCGAUAAAACAAAAAAAGAGCAAAGAAGAUCUUAUUCCAAAUUUGCGUAUGAGCGUUUUACAAUAGGGAAGAGCCUUGGCCACAAGAGCUGUAAGCGAGUUCCCUAGUUCUAACGACCUAAGACUGUGUAACCUAGUUGAGUCGCAGCUCGAUUACAAAAACGAAAAUUGCCUAAGUACUAAAUUUUGCUGGGUGUAAAGUUCUCUCUUGCGCCUCUCGCCUUUGUGUCUCUUAUAUAUUCCUCCAAGGUUGGUUUGGGCUUUCUUUUUCUGCUCUUGGGUCGAGUUUAUCUUCUUACAGAAAUAUUCAAUUUUCUCGAUCUUCAUAAUUAUCCAUUGAAACUUGACAUUUAUCUUCGAACAUGACAUUUAUCUUCAAACUUGACAUUUAUCUCUAUCAGCGAAUAAUCGAUAAACCGGCAUAGUGACUUUGAGUCGAUUUUACGUUAAAAAUUGUUAGUGAGCUUUUGCCGGAUGAUCAGUGUGAAUGGUAUAUUGAGUUAGCUACAGUUUGCAGCAAUUUGCAACUAUAAAUUAACAUUAUCUUGUGACUAAUUUGUAACUACAGAUUUGCGGUUACAGAAAUAGUUGUAAAUUAGUUAUAAUGAUGCUACUAUAUUGUGACUACUCUAAAUAGUUACAAAAAAUGUCAAAAAUGUGUCCCAAAUAAAUGACCGAAUUGCCAUAACUCGCUUUGGUCGCAAAUAUGCGACUUAUAUAUAACUUAUUUAUAGUUGUUGCAAAAUAGUUACAAAUUAGUCAGAAACUGUUCCCUUAAUUUUGCAACCACCAAAUGCAGUUGCAAGAGUACUCUCAAAGUUGAUGUUUUUUUUUGUAGUGGUGAUUAACUCGAGGUUAACCACCUACAAACGAUACAUCUACCACACUUCUUUUAAUUUAGGCCAUUUGAUUCAUCAUAUACCUAGACGUAGAAUUUGCAAUUGUAUAAUUCAAACAACGUUAAAGUUGUAAGAGUGGUUCAAUGACCUUAUUUCUUGUGGAACCUACACAAAAGCUGACAAUUUAACAAGUAGGACAUGCAUUCUUCUUUACGAUCAUUGAACCUAAACUUUGUACCUUUAGUUAAGUUAACAUAAAACUGAAAAAGGAUCAAAACAUUUUAUAACAAGGAUCUAUUAGGAUUUAUGAAGUAAGAGUUCUACAUAUUAAAAAUCUAUUGAUGAACUGAAUGAAAGCAUUUCAGUUUUAACUCGAACCGAUAAAUUAAUGAAGGACAAAUGAAGACAUUAAUACAUAUAUACAUACAUAUACAUUUUGUUAUCAGCUACUGAUGGGGCGACAAUCCUGAAUGGAAAAUAACUAAAGAAAACCAAAGGAGAUUUUGGAAAAUCUGGAGGUUUUGUCUGCUUCUUAUAGCCCAUUUCUUAUGAUCACUCCUUUGCUUCAAUUUGUCUCGUUUUACAGCUAUCUUUUGUGUUUUUUUGCCCAGUCACCAAAUGAUGUCUUUAGAAAAAUCAUGACCUCGAAAUCUAUUUUGUUACUUGACUUACAAAAUUUUGAAAAGUCUGUUAGUUUUGUCGCUGGUUUACAGCCUUUUAAAUAUUAUCCCUAUAUUACCACAGGUUGCUAAAAGUAUUAUCUAUUUUAAUAAACUAAAUCAAAUAAAAUAAUUUUGAAUUAUAU